GACGAACGCUGGCGGCGUGCUUAACACAUGCAAGUCGAACGAGAACGGAUUAUAGCUUGCUAUAAUUGUCAGCUAAGUGGCGCACGGGUGAGUAAUGUAUAGGUAAUAUGCCUCUUACUAAGGGAUAACAAUUGGAAACGAUUGCUAAUACCUUAUAUGCCUUUAAGACUAAAGUCUGCAAGGGAAAGAUUUAUUGGUAAGAGAUUAGCCUGUAUUGUAUCAGCUAGUUGGUGAGGUAAUGGCUCACCAAGGCUAUGACGCAUAACUGGUUUGAGAGGAUGAUCAGUCACACUGGAACUGAGACACGGUCCAGACUCCUACGGGAGGCAGCAGUGGGGAAUAUUGCACAAUGGACGAAAGUCUGAUGCAGCAACGCCGCGUGGAGGAUGACACAUUUCGGUGCGUAAACUCCUUUUAUAUAGGAAGAUAAUGACGGUACUAUAUGAAUAAGCACCGGCUAACUCCGUGCCAGCAGCCGCCGUAA
rnacentral:rRNA from 1 species